UUGCUUGAGGACGACCCCACAGUCGUGUACCUCACUGCAUACCUGCUCACCCUGGAUGCACAGUAUGAUUUCUUGGCUCGGCACCACAGUCAGAAGAUUGCCCGAGUAGAAGAGGCAGAGAAGCGCAACCGCCAGCUCCAUGUGGAUCUCACCACAACUCAAGCCCGUGUAGUUGCCUUGGAGAGUCGUGAAGUCAUUGUUGUUGAAGCCUUGAAAGCCCUACGGAUCCAAGAGCCCGCUUCAUCCAACCCAGUUCAACCCAUGAGAGCUGAAGAUCCCCAGAUUCUUGAAGGUCACCUGAUCUCUAUCAGAGGAGAGAAGAAGGCUUGGGAACUCCUAGAAGGAGCCAUAGUCUUAGAAGGAAUGCCAGUCUCCCCUCAGGCUAUGGAUAAGCAAGAGCACCUCGAAUCCUCCCAAGAUCCUCCGCUAGAGUUGUUUGAGCCCCUCACCAUGAAGAAGAUUCUAGCACCGUUUCGUGAGGUCAAGGAAGAAGCUGCAAGCACCCCACCAGCACUGCCGCCCUCUGAGGAGCUACAAGAGCCAGUCCCACUUCAAGAAGAGUUCGACCCCGUCCUGCCAUCUCAGUCGCCGCCAGAAAGUCAUCAACAUCAGCUCCCUCUUGACCCAUCCAGGAGAUGUCUCAAAUUGAAGUUGUGUCCCAGCCUCGCCAGAAGAGAAGCUACCAGAUCUAAGUUAGUUAUGCCCAGUCCUCUACAUGCAUUGGGUAGUGAAGUUUUUCUUCACUUUAGCCAAAGCCCUGCAUGUAUGAGAGUCGCAUUUAGCGUAGUUCCCAGUUCAGGAGCCGAGCAAUAG
rnacentral:misc_RNA from 1 species